UCUAGGGGGUGUAGCAAUACACCACCGGCGGACGGGUGCGUAACACGUGGGAAUAUACCUUUCGGUACGGAACAACUGAGGGAAACUUCAGCUAAUACCGUAUACGUCCUAACGGAGAAAGAUUUAUCGCCGAAGGAUUAGCCCGCGCUCGAUUAGCUAGUUGGUGAGGUAAUGGCUCACCAAGGCUACGAUCGAUAGCUGUUCUGAGAGGAAGAUCAGCCACACUGGGACUGAGACACGGCCCAGACUCCUACGGGAGGCAGCAGUUGGGAAUCUUGGACAAUGGGGGAAACCCUGAUCCAGCCAUGCCGCGUGAGUGAUGAAGGCCUUCGGGUUGUAAAGCUCUUUUACCCGGGAAGAUAAUGACUGUACCGGGAGAAUAAGCUCCGGCUAACUUCGUGCCAGCAGCCGCGGUAAUACGAAGGGGGCUAGCGUUGUUCGGAAUUACUGGGCGUAAAGCGCGCGCAGGCGGUUUCUCAAGUCAGUGGUGAAAGCCCGGAGCUCAACUCCGGAACUGCCAUUGAAACUGUGAGACUUGAGGACGAGAGAGGUGAGUGGAAUUCCCAGUGUAGAGGUGAAAUUCGUAGAUAUUGGGAAGAACACCGGUGGCGAAGGCGGCUCACUGGCUCGUUUCUGACGCUCAGGCGCGACAGCGUGGGGAUCAAACAGGAUUAGAUACCCUGGUAGUCCACGCCGUAAACGAUGAACGCUAGCCGUUGGGUAGCUUGCUAUUCAGUGGCGCAGCUAACGCAUUAAGCGUUC
rnacentral:rRNA from 1 species